rnacentral:pre_miRNA from 1 species
UUUUUAGGGUAAGUAUGUCCCAUGCAAUACUUGGGACAUACUUAUGCUUAAA